rnacentral:rRNA from 1 species
AUUGAACGCUGGCGGCAUGCCUUACACAUGCAAGUCGAACGGCAGCACGGGAGCAAUCCUGGUGGCGAGUGGCGAACGGGUGAGUAAAGUAUCGGAACGUGCCCAGUCGUGGGGGAUAACGUAGCGAAAGUUACGCUAAUACCGCAUACGAUCUAUGGAUGAAAGCGGGGGAUCGCAAGACCUCGCGCGAUUGGAGCGGCCGAUAUCAGAUUAGGUAGUUGGUGGGGUAAAGGCUCACCAAGCCGACGAUCUGUAGCUGGUCUGAGAGGACGACCAGCCACACUGGGACUGAGACACGGCCCAGACUCCUACGGGAGGCAGCAGUGGGGAAUUUGGGACAAUGGGCGAAAGCCUGAUCCAGCCAUGCCGCGUGCAGGAUGAAGGCCUUCGGGUUGUAAACUGCUUUUGUACGGAACGAAAAGGUUUGGCCUAAUAAGCUGAGCUCAUGACGGUACCGUAAGAAUAAGCACCGGCUAACUACGUGCCAGCCGCCCGGUAA